rnacentral:tRNA from 1 species
GGGCCUAGAUCAAGACACAAAAGGCGGCACCGGCCUGGCGAUCUCAUAAUCCUUUGGUCCACGGUUCGAGUCCGUGUGGGCCCACCA